rnacentral:rRNA from 1 species
GGAAUUACUGGGCGUAAAGGGCUCGUAGGCGGCCAACUAAGUCAGACGUGAAAUCCCUCGGCUUAACCGGGGAACUGCGUCUGAUACUGGAUGGCUUGAGUUCGGGAGAGGGAUGCGGAAUUCCAGGUGUAGCGGUGAAAUGCGUAGAUAUCUGGAGGAACACCGGUGGCGAAGGCGGCAUCCUGGACCGACACUGACGCUGAGGAGCGAAAGCCAGGGGAGCAAACGGG